GGAUAAAAUUUGGGGGUUUCUUUCAGAAGUUGUGUGUGGGAGUUCUCAAGAAACUGUCCCCCAGCUCUGCUCCCAUUGGCUAUGAAAAUUGGGGUGGGGUUAGCCUUUCCUGCAGUUACUGCUGACCCAGACACAGCCCACCGGAUGUGGCUCCCUGGGCGUUCUCCGUUCUCGGAGACAGCCCUCUGGCCACCCCUGACCCGCCUUUAUCUUUCAACAAAAGGAGAAAAAAAAUCGUGACUGAAGCGAGUUCCAGGUGAUGGCCUGCCUUGGCCAUUUCUUCGGCAUCUUGCCCACCAGGAGAGCGAAGACGAGGCUCUGACUCUAAACCUGGUUCCAAUUGCUCUAAAAUGCCAGAGGUACAAAGGAGCAAGAAAUGGCAAAAAUGUAUAUAAAAGCACUAAGAAGCAGAUGAGAUGCAAGAGGUCUGGAAAAUUCACACCAGAAAUGAGCCCUCAGCCACCAAGGGUUGAAGUGACAGUGCUGUGAU
rnacentral:lncRNA from 1 species